rnacentral:rRNA from 1 species
GACGAACGCUGGCGGCGUGCUUAACACAUGCAAGUCGAACGGAAAGGCCCUGCUUUUGUGGGGUGCUCGAGUGGCGAACGCGUGAGUAACACGUGAGUAACCUGCCCUUGACUUUGGGAUAACUUCAGGAAACUGGGGCUAAUACCGGGUAGGAGCUCCUGCUGCAUGGUGGGGGUUGGAAAGUUUCGGCGGUUGGGGAUGGACUCGCGGCUUAUCAGCUUGUUGGUGGGGUAGUGGCUUACCAAGGCUUUGACGGGUAGCCGGCCUGAGAGGGUGACCGGCCUCAUUGGUACUGCGAUACGGCCCAGACUCCUACGUGAGGCAGCAGUGGGGAAUAUUGCACAACGGGCGGAAGCCUGAUGCAGCAACGCCGCGUGCGUGAUGACGGCCUUCGGGUUGUAAACCGCUUUCGCCUGUGACGAAGCGUGAGUGACGGUAAUGGGUAAAGAAGCACCGGCUAACUACGUG